AUAUAUAUAUAUAUAUGCAUUAAUUGUAUUUUCAGCUAUCUUUUAUAAAGUUAAUUCACCAUAGUCACAAAAUCAUGAAGUUGCUUUAGGUAAAAAUGUUCUACAUCCAAACACUUCAUUCGAAAACAUGUUUCAAUGUGUCACAUGGUCCAUUAAUUUAUUUUUUUAAAUUAAUAUUGGUAUCAAUAUGUCAAUAUUGUAACCUAUGUAUGUGUUUUAUAAUAAAAAUAUGAUUGUCAAAUAAAUCUGUCAUAUUAAGUGGGCCAAACUGAAAACAAAAAUUAGGUUGGUUGAAUCAUGAUUAUAUCAAAAUAAUCGACUUUUUUAAAAAUAUAUUUUUUUUUCUUCUAUGUUCUCAAAUACACACAUCUGAAUUAAUGGUCAAUCUAAAAAAAAUUAGAAAUUUUGAGAAUUUAAAGGAGCUGAAGAAACUCACAUUUUUUGGGCUUGUAAUUGUGGAACCCAAGUCAACUUAUUUAGGUAUUAUUUGAUGAAGUUGGAAAUGAAUUAUCCAAUAAUAUUGAUUAAUUAAUUGCAACAACUACAUAAUUCUUUUUGAAGGUAUCUUUUCUAGUAUAUAUCAAUUUAAGACUAAUAAUAAUAUUUAUGUGCAUCAAACAGAUUGAACAAAAGUAUGCUAAGGAAACUGAUAAACUUAAUCCUCCUCAUACAUUUGUUCCAUGGGUGGUUGUCAAUGACCAUGCACUCCAAGAGGACUUCGAAAAUUUUGUGACAUAUAUUUGCAAGGCUUACAAGGGAAAAUUGAAACCAAAUGCUUGUAAAUCACUUUCAACAAGAACUUAUUACGACUCGGAUGUGAAAAUGGACUCAUUUCAUCGUGUUUGCUAUGUAGAUGAAGCAAGAAAUUUGACCUUACUUAACUAGUCGCAUAAUUAAGGAGGAAAUCUCUAUGAAAAUGAACUUGGAAUGCAUUUUUGGUGUGUUUCAUGUGGCUGUUAUAGAAUUCUCACUUUGUCACAAUCAAUAAGUCAUAUAUGUGCAUGACUUGCCUUAGAAUUUAGAAAGUGAAAAGCAUCAUAAUAAAAUAAAAUUUGAGGAUUUAUUCCUUCAAUUAUGCAUUCGAGGUUGUUCGACUGUUUAAGAAGUUUUAAAUAAGUCUGAAUUUUCAAAUA